AUUGAACGCUGGCGGCAGGCCUAACACAUGCAAGUCGAACGAGUGGCGGACGGGUGAGUAAUGUCUGGGAAACUGCCUGAUGGAGGGGGAUAACUACUGGAAACGGUAGCUAAUACCGCAUACCAUCAGAUUUGCCCAGCUGGGAGUCGCUUGUUGGUGGGGUAACGGCUCACCAAGGCGACGAUCCCUAGCUGGUCUGAGAGGAUGACCGGCCAACCUGGAACUGAGACACGGUCCAGCCUCCUACGUGAGGCAGCAUUGGGGAAUAUGGCACAAUGGGCGCAGGCCUGAUGCAGCCAUGCCGCGUGUAUGAAGAAGGCCUUCGGGUUGUAAGGUACUUUCAGCGGGGAGGCGUUAACAGCAGAAGAAGCACCGGCUAACUCCGUGCCAGCCGCCGCGGUAAUAC
rnacentral:rRNA from 1 species